GACGAACGCUGGCGGCGUGCUUAACACAUGCAAGUCGAACGGAGAGGCCCUGCUUUUGUGGGGUGCUCGAGUGGCUAACGGGUGAGUAACACGUGAGUAACCUGCCCUUGACUUUGGGAUAACUUCAGGAAACUGGGGCUAAUACCGGAUAGGAGCUCCUGCUGCAUGGUGGGGGUUGGAAAGUUUCGGCGGUUGGGGAUGGACUCGCGGCUUAUCAGCUUGUUGGUGGGGUAGUGGCUUACCAAGGCUUUGACGGGUAGCCGGCCUGAGAGGGUGACCGGCCACAUUGGGACUGAGAUACGGCCCAGACUCCUACGGGAGGCAGCAGUGGGGAAUAUUGCACAAUGGGCGGAAGCCUGAUGCAGCAACGCCGCGUGCGGGAUGACGGCCUUCGGGUUGUAAACCGCUUUCGCCUGUGACGAAGCGUGAGUGACGGUAAUGGGUAAAGAAGCACCGGCUAACUACGUG
rnacentral:rRNA from 1 species